UACGUAGGUGGCGAGCGUUGUCCGGAUUUACUGGGCGUAAAGCGCGCGCAGGCGGCCGGCCAAGUCCGAUGUGAAAUCUUCCGGCUUAACUGGAAAACGGCAUCGGAUACUGGUCGGCUGGAAGGUGGGAGAGGGUAGCGGAAUUCCCGGUGUAGUGGUGAAAUGCGUAGAUAUCGGGAGGAACACCAGUGGCGAAAGCGGCUACCUGGCCCACUCUUGACGCUGAGGCGCGAAAGCUAGGGGAGCGAACGGG
rnacentral:rRNA from 1 species